rnacentral:tRNA from 1 species
CGGGGUGUAGUGAACCGGCUAUCACGCUUCGUUCGGGACGAAGAGACAUUGGGUUCAAUUCCCAACACCCCGACAA